AAAAAUUAUAAUUCGGCUCAUCUCUAUCCCCAUCCCCACCCUGACUCUUUCACUUCGUCUUCUCCGGUCUCUGAGUUUUGUGAGUUUCGCGUUACCUUAGCCACUUCUAAUCAAUCAAUGAUAUUUAAACUCUUCUUCAGUGUUUCGUUCCACAUCUCGGUGAUUCUUCAUCCUUCAAAUCCAGAUGUUUCAUGAUUUAUCAAACACUUGCUACAAAUUUAGGACCAUACACACAAACCCCCACUACCCCAAACCAAGUUCGCUGCAGUUCUUACUUUUCCGUCAUGGCUAGCCUCGAUUGUGUCUUCCUAAUUUACAUUGACAAUAUGCAUCUUUGCCGUUUUCUGAAGAGUUGUUCUUUUCAGGUUCUUAUUGCAUUGCCUCCAAGGGAAAAAAAAUCAGGUUUGCUAAUAAAUGGAACAUCUCUUUCAUCACAUCAGUGGCGGAUCCAGAACCAUAAUUAAUCGGGGGCACCUCAAUAGAAUAAUUAACUCAUAUAAAAGAAAAAAAAGUUUCAUAACUAAAAGUAUCUUACAAAUUUAUUCUACAAGAUUCAUUAUUCUAGAAUCUUUUCACUACUACUUCGUUUGUUAUUUUCUCAAACAAUUUUUUUUUCAACAAAAACAAAUAACAUAAUCAUUUAAAAACUGAUCACUUAUCCGGUUCCGCAAACUAGUCUUCACGAUUUUCAUCACUGAAAAACAUCUUCCACAUUUGUUUUCAGUGUAAUCUCUAAACAAGUAGCAGACCAAACAAAACGCUUUAUCCUUUUUUACUAUAUUCUAACUAAUCGUUAUAGAGAUCAAAUCAAGCGAGAUUGAAUUGUCUCAGUUUACUUUUAAACAAUGUUUUAGGAAAUUCAUGACCACGAGGUUGACAAAGAUCUCUCAUAAGAUAUUUGCGUCUUACCUCAUCUCUCUGAUUUAAAGGAAAUUCGGUUAUAUCCUUUUCCUAUCUCCAGGAUCACUAGGUAAAUUCUCCAAAUCAACUUCAACGUGUUGUUGUUUGGAGAAGACAAAUCAUCUUCAGAUACAAUUUAACUUAUUUUUCAUUUUAAUUUUUAAUAGAUUAAAUGAUUAAUAGAUUUGGAGAUAUAAUUUAAAAAAUAAAAAACAUUAAUUUGAUUAUUAUUUUAGAACUUUAGAUACAAUUUUUGCUAAUGCACAAAACAAAAGCUUAACAUGUAUAUUAUAUACACUUAAACUAUGUAUAACGUUAAUAAAAAUAUUUUGAAUAAAAUGAAAGGAGUAAACUAGAAAUAUAAGGUUAAAUAUACAUAUGUUUGGAUAUUUUCGGAUAUCCAUUCGGGUUCGGAUAUUACUCGUUCGAAUUCGGAUAUCCAAUCUCUCUUGAAUCAAUACGAGUUAGGAUAUUUUGAUACUUCGAUUCGAAUUUCGAUUCAGAUUUUUUGGAUCGGGUUCGGGUGUGGCUUCGGAUAUCGAAAAAAGUAUCCGCCCAUAGUUAGUGUCGUGAUACUAGAUUAAAAUUAAAAACUUCCAUUAUUAACUUUUUUUAGUUUUGAUUGGGUUUUUUAAAACUAAACUUAUCUUGGGCUACAUUAGACUUAUGUACAUAUAAUAAUUGUGUUCUACAAUUCUUACUUAUCCUUCAAUUUUAUAUAUACAUAACUAUUAUUAUAUACAAUUUUUUUUUUAAAGUAGUAGGGGGCACGUGCCCCCGUAGUCAACAACGUCCAUCCGCCCCUGCAUCACAUGAUCUUAGUUGGUUCUUUCUCUACAAUCAGCUGAUUGCUUCUUGACUUUUCUACGUUGGCUUAUUGAAACUCAUAUUCAGGAGCUGGAUGAGGAACUGAAGCUUCUCAAGAAUCACUCUCAACCAAAUAUAGUUGUAAGAAAUAAAAGCUUUCUGUAUUUCUUACUAUGUCUGGUACAUGCUACAUGGUCUUUGUUUCUUUUUAACUCUCAUUCAAAACCACUGAAAAUUUUGUUUCUUUAUAACAUGAAACAUGAAAACAAGAACUUGUGGUUGAUUUAUUCGUAGAAAUCUGUGUUUUUGUAGACUUAUGGUCCAUGAGAGAGAGAGAGAGAGAGAGAGAGAGAGAGAGAGAGAGAGAGAGAAGGUUUUCCAAUAAGCAGCUAUUCAUCCGUCUCUGUGAGUCUCCUCUUCUCAUGAAUGUUGGGAGAAUGAUCUUUUUGAUGGAGAAGAGCAGCAGGAAGAAAUAAUGGAUGUUAUCAGUGAGUAAGCGGGAGCAUUGGCCACGGCUGACGGAACCAAGAGCUUGAAUUAAAGUUUUAUCUAAAAUAAUGCUCAUCAGAAAUUUUUAAAGAUUCAUCUAUGAAGAGUGAUUGUUUUAAAAAAACAUCAGCUGUUGCAGCGGAGUAGGUUGUGGUUCUGGUUGUUAAAGACAAGAGUGAUGGUAAGAAGUCAAAGAAAACUAGAAGGCUAAGAAAUACGAUGAAGAUCAAUGAAAAAAGAGGGUGGUUGGAUAAAAAAGGAGAGCGCAAAAUUCUAAGAAGGUUGUGAUUGGACAUUUGAGGUCUCAUAACAGAAGUAACUAUUAAAUUAUUUUCACCUCCUGCAUUAUUUGUCGAGGCUGGAGGGGUUGUGAUUCCGAGACCGAACUCUGUUUUUGUUUUCUUUGGUGGUGGAGAAAAGAAAAACAUUGUUUGAUAUACUAAGCGUUCAGAUUCUAGACUCUCCUUACAUAAAGUAAAUUUUAGUAUCAAAGUUCUUAAACAAAGUAAUUUCAAACAAGUGUAUAUUUUCUAAUUUACAUUUCAGGACUCUCCCGUGUCUACAUACUAAAUAUUUUAUAGUAUUCAGUCUCCUUAGACCAUCUGCAACAGAGGUUCAAGAGGAGUCCAUAGCCCAAAUCCUUAGGAUUUUUGAAAUAUAAUAUUAAUAUUUGGGCUAAGAUUAUCACGGAUCAGUCCGUAAAUAGGGGUUUGAAGGACUCGAUCCUUAGUGCAGGUGGCAUGUUGCCAUUGGUGGGGAAAGUAUUGGUCGCUGAUGAAAGGAACAAAGAGUUCGAUGUCGAGGAGAUGAAGAUCGUCUGGGUUCUCGCCAAGCUUUUGAGUUUCCGAUCGAAUUGCCGCCUCGUCGCCUCCGAUCCGAGGAAGAAGCAGGAAUGAUUGAGUAUAAUACUUUGUUAAAGUCUCUAAAGACUCGACGAGAUUCUUUGCGUUCAAAGCUGAGUGAGCUAUUGGAAGCUAAGGUUUGUGUCAGCCGAAACAGAGUCGUAGCAGCUUCGAAAGGAAGAAUUUGCCUCCUUUGGGCUAUACAGAAGUGAUUGAUGUUGAGAUUGUUGAGAACGUUGCGGCUAUGGAACAGAGUAGUGAAAAGGAAGAGUCUUUAGACGAUGCCAAUCCGAGAGACUCCUUGACCUGUCUCUCUCUCUCUAUCUUUCUUUUUGUUCAAUUUGACACUGAACAGACCAAAGCAGCUGAAUGCUCUCUCCUUCCAAAUGGGUAACUCUGUUUUUGAGAAGAUGUCAACCGUAUCCAAGACUAAACCAAGAGACAAGAAGGUUGUGAAUGAUUCACACAAGGCACCAAGCAUAGGUGAAACUACUGGUGGUGCUUACAAUCUUCUUUUGGAGACCGUUGAGUUAACCGGUCCCUCAUCGCUUCACAACAAUGGUCGUUUCAGAAACAUUGAUGACUCGGAUUCAACCGGAGCCGACUGUGAUUCUGUCUCUAACAACGGUAGCUGGUCAGGCGAUUCGGAAGAUCGCAAAGAGAAAGCAGCACCUUCCACAGCUACCGCGAAGCAAGAAACCAUCUCCGGAGCAGCUGAUAAAUGGAUUAAGUUACAGAGACGCAACUGCAGAUGAAGAACGUGAGUACUCUUGAUUUUGGAAGCUUUCUCUUUUGAUUUUGUUAGAACUAAUUAGCUUCUGUUGUAAUGGCAAGUGUGUCCAAUAGUUAGGAAUAUAUAGACAUAUCAAGAGUGAACUAAUUAGCUUCUUUUGUAUCA